CGCAAGGUUGAAACUCAAAGGAAUUGACGGGGACCCGCACAAGCGGUGGAUGAUGUGGUUUAAUUCGAUGCAACGCGGAAAACCUUACCUACCCUUGACAUGCCAGGAACUUCCAGAGAUGGCUUGGUGCUCGAAAGAGAGCCUGGACACAGGUGCUGCAUGGCCGUCGUCAGCUCGUGUCGUGAGAUGUUGGGUUAAGUCCCGCAACGAGCGCAGCCCUUGUCAUUAGUUGCUACGAAGGGGCACUCUAAUGAGACUGCCGGUGACAAACCGGAGGAAGGUGGGGAUGACGUCAGGUCCUCAUGGCCCUUAUGGGUAGGGCUACACACGUCAUACAAUGGCCGGUACAGAGGGCUGCCAACCCGCGAGGGGGAGCCAAUCCCAGAAAACCGGUCGUAGUCCGGAUCGCAGUCUGCAACUCGACUGCGUGAAGGCGGAAUCGCUAGUAAUCGCGGAUCAGCUUGCCGCGGUGAAUACGUUCCCGGGUCUUGUACACACCGCCCGUCACACCAUGGGAGCGGGUUCUGCCAGAA
rnacentral:rRNA from 1 species